rnacentral:tRNA from 1 species
CUGCCCAUCAAAAGCAAGCCUAAAGCAGCCCUUACGAGGCUGAGGUCGCCGGUUCAACUCCGGCCCGGCCCA